rnacentral:rRNA from 1 species
UGCGUAGGUGGUGGUUUAAGUCUGCUGUGAAAGCCCUGGGCUCAACCUGGGAAUUGCAGUGGAUACUGGAUCACUAGAGUGUGGUAGAGGGAUGCGGAAUUUCUGGUGUAGCAGUGAAAUGCGUAGAGAUCAGAAGGAACAUCCGUGGCGAAGGCGGCAUCCUGGGCCAACACUGACACUGAGGCACGAAAGCGGUGGGGAGCAAACA